AAGGGAGACCUAAUUCCGGUAGGAGACGAAAAAAAAGUAGUCCCAACCAAGAAUCAAUCCCAAAAGGUCGGAACGAGGUAUGAGGCUUUCAAACUAGGUUCUGGGUUCAUAAAAGACCUGGAUCAGGAACAAGGGCUAUUAGCUCAGGUGGUUAGAGCGCACCCCUGAUAAGGGUGAGGUCCCUGGUUCGAGUCCAGGAUGGCCCACCUGCACAGGUGGCAAAAACAAGAGAAGCUCCGAAUCAGCACCUUAUCUUAUAUACAUAUAUAAGAGAGAAUGCUGGCUCUGAGUACAGAGUCCAGAGGAACCUUGAAAACUGCAUAGAGCUAGGUGAAAAAGCCAAAAAAGAAGACCGCAA
rnacentral:tRNA from 1 species